rnacentral:rRNA from 1 species
CGGGUGAGUAACACGUAUCCAACCUGCCGAUGACUCGGGGAUAGCCUUUCGAAAGAAAGAUUAAUACCCGAUGGCAUAGUUCUUCCGCAUGGUGGAACUAUUAAAGAAUUUCGGUCAUCGAUGGGGAUGCGUUCCAUUAGGUUGUUGGCGGGGUAACGGCCCACCAAGCCUUCGAUGGAUAGGGGUUCUGAGAGGAAGGUCCCCCACAUUGGAACUGAGACACGGUCCAAACUCCUACGGGAGGCAGCAGUGAGGAAUAUUGGUCAAUGGACGAGAGUCUGAACCAGCCAAGUAGCGUGAAGGAUGACUGCCCUAUGGGUUGUAAACUUCUUUUAUACGGGAAUAAAGUGAGGCACGUGUGCCUUUUUGUAUGUACCGUAUGAAUAAGGAUCGGCUAACUCCGUGCCAGCAGCCGCGGUAAUACGGAGGAUCCGAGCGUUAUCCGGAUUUAUUGGGUUUAAAGGGAGCGUAGGCGGACGCUUAAGUCAGUUGUGAAAGUUUGCGGCUCAACCGUAAAAUUGCAGUUGAUACUGGGUGUCUUGAGUACAGUAGAGGCAGGCGGAAUUCGUGGUGUAGCGGUGAAAUGCUUAGAUAUCACGAAGAACUCCGAUUGCGAAGGCAGCCUGCUGGACUGUAACUGACGCUGAUGCUCGAAAGUGUGGGUAUCAAACAGGAUUA